GAUAGAUAUUAAUUUAAAAUAUUUAAUCUAAGAAUAUAAGGGUAGAGCUUUAUCAUUCAAUAAUAAAUGAAAUAUAAGUUAAUAAGUAUUUAUUUUGAUAAUUAGGUUUUUUAGUGGCCAUAUUUUUAAAGUGUUUUAACUAAUAUAAUUGAAUAAUUUAUUUAUUAGAUUUUAUUAAAUUAAUAAUAUGUUUUUUAAAAUGGAUAAAUAUUAGAAAUAAUGAAAAUAUUAGUAGAAUUAAUAUAUGAGAAAAAAGAAAAGUAUUAAAAGUAAAAUAUGAAAAUAGUUAAGAAAAAAAUAGAGGAACUCGGCAAAUAAGGUUCUUGCCUGUUUAACAAAAACAUGUCUCUAUGAAGUUAUAUGAAGUCUGACCUGCCCAUUGAAAUUUAUUAAAAGGCCGCGGUAUAUUAACUGUGCAAAGGUAGCAUAAUUAGUAGUUUUUUAAUUGAAGGCUUGUAUGAAAGGUUGGACAAGGGAUAAGCUGUCUUUAUUUUUAUUUUUGAAUUUGUCUUUUAAGUGAAAAGACUUAAAUAAGUUUAAGGGACGAUAAGACCCUAUAAAUCUUUAUAUUAGUUUAAUUUUAUUUUAAAUUUUAAUGUUUAAAAGAGUAAAGUUAAUAUAGUAUUGUAUUGGGGUGAUAGGAAUAAUUAGUAAACUGUUCGAAGGUAUAAACAAAAAUAUUUGAUUAUAAUUAUUAGUAGAUCCUUAGUGGAGAUUACAAGUUUAAGUUACUUUAGGGAUAACAGCGUUAUUUUUUUUGAGAGUUCUAAUCGAAAAAGAAGUUUGCGACCUCGAUGUUGAAUUAAAAUUUCUUUGUGGUGUAGUAGUUACAAGAGAGAGUCUGUUCGACUUUUAAAAUUUU
rnacentral:rRNA from 1 species